CAGACUCUGUCCACUACGAGCUUUCUCUCUACCAGCCAUGGCCCUCUGGAAACUUCCAAGAAAACCAAGACCCAUGCUGACCCCUCUGGCCACCACGAUUGGCAACAUAUUCACAGAAAGUAUCUAAUUUUGUACUGUGCUCAGCCACUUAACAUUGGACUCUGACGAAAGCCCAGGACACUACCAGCAGAGCACCACAAGGACCAGGAUGGAGCCAGGGAGCCCGCGUUGCGUGCUGGGCGGGAGCAAGGGACCAUUUCCCAGACAAGGGCCUGCCUUCAGCAUCUGCCCACGUGCCCACUGGCCCCACCAGGGGUGAGCAGGCCCAGGAUGUGUCCCGCACACCCCUCCACAGUACCUGGUCUGCACUGCCAAGGUCGAAGGACCUGCCCAGGGCUCUGCUCAUCCCAGGACCCACAAGUUCACACAGUCCAUGAGCCGGGGCCCGGGCAAAGCUCCAGCCAAGACGGGAGGAGGCUGGCUGCAGAGGCCCCGUGGGGAAGCGUGCAGUCCAGCUCUGGGCUCCGAGCUGCGUUCCGCCCAGCGCCACCUCCGUGAAUCCUUAAAAACACUCCCUCCCCAGCUGCAGAGCGCAAU